AUUGGGGUAAUGGUCAAAUCUG
rnacentral:miRNA from 10 species